UGGCGGACGGGUGAGUAAUGUCUGGGAAACUGCCUGGUGGAGGGGGGUAACUACUGGAAACGGUAGCUAAUACCGCAUAACGUCGCAAGACCAAAGAGGGGGACCUUCGGGCCUCUUGCCAUCGGAUGUGCCCAGAUGGGAUUAGCUAGUAGGUGGGGUAACGGCUCACCUAGGCGACGAUCCCUAGCUGGUCUGAGAGGAUGACCAGCCACACUGGAACUGAGACACGGUCCAG
rnacentral:rRNA from 1 species